UAACAGCUCAAAUUUGAAAUCUGGCUCCCUGCGGAGUCCGAGUUGUAAUUUGUAGAAGAUGCUUUGGGUGCGUGGCCCGGCCUAAGUUCCUUGGAACAGGACGUCGUAGAGGGUGAGAAUCCCGUAUGCGGCCGGGGCGCCUGCCCGUGUAAAGCUCUUUCGACGAGUCGAGUUGUUUGGGAAUGCAGCUCAAAAUGGGUGGUAAAUUUCAUCUAAAGCUAAAUAUGGGCCAGAGACCGAUAGCGCACAAGUAGAGUGAUCGAAAGAUGAAAAGCACUUUGGAAAGAGAGUUAAACAGUACGUGAAAUUGUUGAAAGGGAAGCGCUUGCAACCAGACUUGGGCGUCGCUGAUCAUCCAAAGUUUUCUUUGGUGCACUCGGCGAGGCACAGGCCAGCAUCGGUUGGGGUGGUGGGAGAAAGGUCGUGGGAACGUAGCUCCUUUCGGGGAGUGUUAUAGCCUGCGGCGCAAUACCACCUACUCCGACCGAGGACCGCGCUUCGGCUAGGAUGCUGGCGUAAUGGUUGUAAGCGACCCGUCUUGAAACACGGACCAAGGAGUCUAACAUCUAUGCGAGUGUUUGGGUGCAAAACCCAUACGCGUAAUGAAAGUGAACGUAGGUGAGAACCCUUCGAGGGGGCAUCAUCGACC
rnacentral:rRNA from 1 species